GCGAACGCUCGGCGGCAUGGCUAAAACAUGCAAGUCGAACGAGAAAGUCACUUCGGUGGCGAGUACAGUGGCGAAAGGGCGAGUAAUGCGUUUCUAACGUGCCCCCGGGGUGCCGGGAUAGCUCAUCGAAAGGUGUGGUAAUACCGCAUAACCCCACGAGGUCGUAUGACCAUGUGGGCAAAGGCUUGCUGCCCGGGGAGCGGGGAACGUCCUAUCAGGUUGUUGGUGAGGUAAAGGCUCACCAAGCCGUAGACGGGUAGCUGGUGUGAGAGCACGACCAGCCGCAUCGGGACUGAGACACUGCCCGGACUCCUACGGGAGGCUGCAGUAACGAAUAUUCCGCAAUGCGCGAAAGCGUGACGGAGCAAUGCCGCGUGAAGGAUGAAGCCCCUCGGGGUGUAAACUUCUGUCAGGAGCUAGGAACACAAUGACCAGCUCCAAAGGAAGGGCCGGCUAACUUCGUG
rnacentral:rRNA from 1 species